rnacentral:rRNA from 1 species
UACGGAGGGGGCUAACGUUGUUCGGAAUUACUGGGCGUAAAGCGCACGUAGGCGGCUUUGUAAGUUAGAGGUGAAAGCCCGGGGCUCAACUCCGGAACUGCCUUUAAGACUGCAUCGCUAGAAUUGUGGAGAGGUAAGUGGAAUUCCGAGUGUAGAGGUGAAAUUCGUAGAUAUUCGGAAGAACACCAGUGGCGAAGGCGACUUACUGGACACAUAUUGACGCUGAGGUGCGAAAGCGUGGGGAGCAAACAGG